rnacentral:rRNA from 1 species
GACGAACGCUGGCGGCGUGCCUAAUACAUGCAAGUAGAACGGAGUGGCGGACGGGUGAGUAAUGUAUCGGAACGUGCCCAGUAGCGGGGGAUAACUACGCGAAAGCGUAGCUAAUACCGCAUACUAUUGGAGCGGCCGAUAUCGGAUUAGCUAGUUGGUGGGGUAACGGCUAACCAAGGCGACGAUCCGUAGCUGGUUUGAGAGGACGACCAGCCACACUGGGACUGAGACACGGCCCAGACUCCUACGGGAGGCAGCAGUGGGGAAUUUUGGACAAUGGGGGAAACCCUGAUCCAGCCAUCCCGUGUGUGCGAUGAAGGCCUUCGGGUUGUAAAGCACUUUUGGCAGGAAAGCGGUACCUGCAGAAUAAGCACCGGCUAACUACGUGCCAGCAGCCGCGGUAAUAC